UACGGAGGGGGCGAGCGUUAUUCGGAAUUAUUGGGCGUAAAGGGCGCGUAGGCGGCUGUACAAGUCAAAGGUGAAAUCCCUCGGCUCAACUGAGGAUCUGCCUUUGAAACUGUACGGCUUGAGGCCGGGAGGGGGUAGCGGAAUUCCCAGUGUAGCGGUGAAAUGCGUAGAUACUGGGAGGAACACCAGUGGCGAAGGCGGCUACCUGGACCGGUUCUGACGCUGAGGCGCGAAAGCGUGGGUAGCAAACAGG
rnacentral:rRNA from 1 species